ensembl:lncRNA
UUCUCGUGAUUAUCAUUCGUGAUUAUUUAAAAAAGAUAUGGCUCUCUGGAAUGAGGCAAGUGAAGACUCAUUGAUCGGCAUGAUCCAGGAAAGGCCGGCCUUGUAUGACAUUACGGAAAAAUUGUAUGCCAACUGUGUGGUGAAAGCUGAAAUGUGGCGUGAGAUCGAAAAUAAACUUGUCAUAUCAGAGAAAGAGCUCAAGAAGCAGUGGGAUUCAUUGCGAACCCAGUACAUGCGUUUUAAGAAACAAGGACCCUCAGGAAGUUCUGGAUCUCAGAAGACUGGCAGGCAGCAAUGGAUCCUGAACCGCCUGCAGUUUCUACAGCCUCACACAAAAAGGAAUGAGGGCACUUCAAAUUUAACUAUCAGGGAAUCUUCGGCUGAUAGUGAUUCCUGUUCACCCUCAGACGGGUACCAAGAGUGACACCUGGACUGGCACCCAUGAAGAGCCCAGCUUCAUUGAGGGGGAGCUACAGCCCAGUACACCCUUGCCUGAAUCCACAAUCUGUGGAACUGAGUCCACAGCUGAGUCCACAGCCAUUAGAAAGAAACUAAAUACUCCAAAGCCUCCGGGGAAGCGCAAGAAGAUGCAGGAUGAAUCCAACAGUGAGGAGUCCACAUACUUGAUGCAUACCAUCGGCAAAACUCUGGAAAAGUUGGCAUCACAGGAAAACAUCAAUGAUGCCAUCUCGGCUUUCUGCAAAAUUCUAGAACACAG